rnacentral:rRNA from 1 species
GCCGGCAGCUAGCUCUCUGCGACUCUCACAUGGUCGCUAUAAGCAGAGCUGCGCCCGGUUAGUACCUGGAUGAGAGACCACAUGGGAAAGCUAGGUUACUGCCGGAA